AGGCCUAACACAUGCAAGUCGAGCGAGACCUUCGGGUCUAGCGGCGGACGGGUUAGUAACGCGUGGGAACGUACCCUUUUCUACGGAAUAGCCUUUGGAAACGAAGAGUAAUACCGUAUACGCCCUUUGGGGGAAAGAUUUAUCGGAGAAGGAUCGGCCCGCGUUAGAUUAGAUAGUUGGUGGGGUAAUGGCCUACCAAGUCUACGAUCUAUAGCUGGUUUUAGAGGAUGAUCAGCAACACUGGGACUGAGACACGGCCCAGACUCCUACGGGAGGCAGCAGUGGGGAAUCUUAGACAAUGGGCGCAAGCCUGAUCUAGCCAUGCCGCGUGAGUGAAGAAGGCCUUAGGGUCGUAAAGCUCUUUCGCCAGGGAUGAUAAUGACAGUACCUGGUAAAGAAACCCCGGCUAACUCCGUGCCAGCAGCCGCGGUAAUACGGAGGGGGUUAGCGUUGUUCGGAAUUACUGGGCGUAAAGCGCACGUAGGCGGAUUAGAAAGUUAGAGGUGAAAUCCCAGGGCUCAACCCUGGAACUGCCUUUAAAACUCCUAGUCUUGAGUUCGAGAGAGGUGAGUGGAAUUCCAAGUGUAGAGGUGAAAUUCGUAGAUAUUUGGAGGAACACCAGUGGCGAAGGCGGCUCACUGGCUCGAUACUGACGCUGAGGUGCGAAAGUGUGGGGAGCAAACAGGAUUAGAUACCCUGGUAGUCCACACCGUAAACGAUGAAUGCCAGUCGUCGGGUAGUAUACUAUUCGGUGACACACCUAACGGAUUAAGCAUUCCGCCUGGGGAGUAC
rnacentral:rRNA from 1 species